UACAGAGGUCUCAAGCGUUGUUCGGAUUCAUUGGGCGUAAAGGGUGCGUAGGUGGCGGGGUAAGUCAGGUGUGAAAUCUCGGAGCUCAACUCCGAAACUGCACUUGAUACUGCCUUGCUCGAGUACUGGAGAGGAGAUUGGAAUUUACGGUGUAGCAGUGAAAUGCGUAGAUAUCGUAAGGAAGACCAGUGGCGAAGGCGAAUCUCUGGACAGUUACUGACACUGAGGCACGAAAGCUGGGGGAGCAAACAGG
rnacentral:rRNA from 1 species